CUUACUCUCCCUCAAACCCCAUCCGGAGACGCCCCAGCUCCCCCGGGAUUCCUAAGCUCUGGGUCCACUGGGGGCCUUGGCCGGAAGCAACUGGCGGGUGCCCCGUCCUUCUCGUCUGGGCUGGGUGCCUGAGGACACUGGACUGGUGUCCCCUGGGCCCUGGCUCCUGCCGUGGGGGUCCCUUGCUAGCUCGGGGCCUGUGCGUGGUGGGAGGUGGCGCGCCGAGCCCCUGUGUGACCGGCGUCAUCCGCCCAUGGAGUGGGGGCCCCGGCACAUGUGUGGGGCGCUGGGUGGGGGCGGCCUCACCUGCAGCGCGGAGGCCCAGCCGGGACCGGCGGGCCAGCCCCUCUCCUCUAAGCCCUUCGCCCCUUCCCCUCCCUCUCCAUAUCAGGAGGUCCCUGUGGAGGUCAGGGAGGCCUUCCUGGCCAGGGGACAACUUUAGUGACAGCGGGGCCUGCCAAGAUGGUGGGAGUGUGUUGUAAAUGUGUUUGUCAGGCGUAGGUGUUGGAACAUGACGUGACAUGCAAAAGAUGGAGGUCCCACCACGAAAGGCCUUGAUGUUGCCCAAGGAGAGGCCUUCCCUCCACUCCUUGACGCGGGUGCGCUGGGGCUGGGGCCCUGUGUGUUGCCAGCCUCUUGCUCACUUCGGAUGUCACCCUGGGGGCAGGGAGGGGUCUUGAAGCUCCUAUCACAGCCCCUAACAUGGGGGCCUGUGUUGGGGGCCCCUAACCCCACCUGUGGCCACCAACAGGAAGAAUGGUGAAUCGACCUGAGUGGAGACAAACAGGUUUGUAUUGUGUUCUUUAAACUUUUUCUAGGGAGGUGGGGAAUUAUCACCCAGGUAGUUUUUGCCUUGUCAGGAGUUGGUCCUCUUGGCCUGAGAGUGGCCUCUCUUUUCUGGAAAUGGGUUUAAAGCCCCUUCUGGCUGGGUUGGGGAGGGGGUCCCAGUGAGGCCAGGACACCAGUGUCCACUGUGUCCAGGUUAUGUCUGCUGUGCCGGCAUGAUGGUGCUGGUGAUCCCACUGGGGCUGGCACCUGGGUAAGCGGGUGCACCUUGGUGGGCGUCUGGGCCCCUACAUCUGGGCAUGGCUGGGUUGUUCAGUGACAAAUUUGACCUUGGCCGAGAGGUCGUCUGUUGCCCCUCCCCCUGCACAGCUGAGCUGGGGGUGGGGCGGGGACUGGGCAUGGCUUCCCCCCUGUGCCCCCAGGCCCUGCCCCUCGCUGAGGGAUUCGGGAGACCGCAGAAGCACGUCACCCGGGAACAGGGGAUUUUAGGAACCAGAGACCCUUGGAAGUUGUGUCUUGUUGCCCCUGAGGCCCCCCUCCCCUCUUCCUACCCCACUCCCCCCACAUUUGGUGAUGGGAGAACAGGUCUGAAGACCAGAUGGUUACCAGCCAGGGCCAGCCAGCACGUUAGGGGCAGGGCCACUUAGGGGGACUUGGGGUUCCUGGAGAUGAGCCCCUGACCUUGAGCCCUGGGACUUGCUUCCUGGGGAGAACCCUGGGCUGGCUUCUUGGGGCUGUUUUAAGGGAGCGGACAGGAAUGGGGUGGCCUGGGCUCCUGGGGCCGUGGUGAUGGUGGCUGUUUAUGGGGUUGCUCCUGGGUCCUGUGACAGUAUGUGUGCAGGGUGUGGUGGGGGUGGAGGGCCCAGGGGGAGAGGGCAGAGGCCACCAGUCCUGGCUCUGUUCUUGACUCCUUCACAGCCACCCUCAGGCCACCUGCCCUCUUUGGGCCUUGGUUUCCUGAAUUUAUUCUGCAUAAGCGCCCGGGGUGCGGUGGAGGACAGGAACUAGAGUGUGACUUCCAUGGCGACAGCAGCUCCGAUGGGCCCGAGCGACAGACAAGGAGACGGAGGCUAGGAGAGGGCUGCGGGCAGUCAGUGGGGGCCCGGGGCGGAGGGAAGCCCAGAGGUAGAGCGGAGCCCCUGGCUUUGAACCUGAGACCUGCUUGGUGGUCUCAUGGUGCCGCCAUCAGGGGUAGAGCUGAGCUGAGAGGGCACCCUUGGGGCACAUGACAUGCUCCGUGUUGGACCCCUCCCCAAGUGGAGGUUCCGUGUCCCCCACCAGGAGUGGUCUCAGUGUGGAGGGGGGGGCAGUUGUGCUCUGGGAGGUCCAAGGUUGGGCCCUGCGGCCAGGCAGAGGGGCUCUGGGUCAGCAUGGGCCAGGCUGGGGGUAAGUGGGCCUUGAGGGCCUGAGCGCCCCCUCCCCGCUGUCCUCAUUCACCUGGAACCCCCUCCCCGUUUCCCAGGGCAGUGCACCCUCAGAACAGCCUUUCUGCCAUCUUUAGGGCAGUGUGACCUUGACCUUCUGACUAGGGGUGAUAGUGGGAGAGUUGGUUGAGGCCAAGGCUCCUUGGUUUGCAGACCCUUUGAGUUGAGGGGGGAAAGCCCAGCCCACCCCCCACCCCACCCUCAUUUCUCUUGUGGGAAAAUUUGGGACUUGAGUUUCUGGGGUCCCUAAUCCAGGCCCUCGGGAAGAGGCAGCUCCCAGGGUCCCUCCCCACAUCCGCCUCCCCCAGACAGAGUGCCAGGCGCCGGGUGGGCCUGUCUUCCCCACCCCUGCCCCACUCCACGUGCUUCCCCUCCAUCCCCCUGCCCUGUCUGCACCCCAUCCUGCACCUUGGGAACAAACCACAAAGUCAGAUAAUC
ensembl:lncRNA